ACUCCUGCGGGAGGCAGCAGUGGGGAAUUUUGGACAAUGGGCGAAAGCCUGAUCCAGCCAUGCCGCGUGCAGGAUGAAGGCCUUCGGGUUGUAAACUGCUUUUGUACGGAACGAAACGGCCUUUUCUAAUAAAGAGGGCUAAUGACGGUACCGUAAGAAUAAGCACCGGCUAACUACGUGCCAGCAGCCGCGGUAAUACGUAGGGUGCAAGCGUUAAUCGGAAUUACUGGGCGUAAAGCGUGCGCAGGCGGUUAUGUAAGACAGUUGUGAAAUCCCCGGGCUCAACCUGGGAACUGCAUCUGUGACUGCAUAGCUAGAGUACGGUAGAGGGGGAUGGAAUUCCGCGUGUAGCAGUGAAAUGCGUAGAUAUGCGGAGGAACACCGAUGGCGAAGGCAAUCCCCUGGACCUGUACUGACGCUCAUGCACGAAAGCGUGGGGAGCAAACAGGAUUAGAUACCCGGGUAGUCCCAUG
rnacentral:rRNA from 1 species